UACGGAGGGUGCAAGCGUUAAUCGGAAUUACUGGGCGUAAAGCGUGCGCAGGCGGUUUGUUAAGUCCGUUGUGAAAGCCCCGAGCUCAACUUGGGAAUUGCAGUGGAUACUGGCAGGCUGGAGUACGGUAGAGGAAGGUGGAAUUCCCGGUGUAGCAGUGAAAUGCGUAGAGAUGUGGAGGAACACCAGUGGCGAAGGCGACUACCUGGCCCACUCUUGACGCUGAGGCGCGAAAGCUAGGGGAGCAAACGGG
rnacentral:rRNA from 1 species